rnacentral:rRNA from 1 species
GGUCUGUAGCAAUACAGAUGCUGGCGACCGGCAAACGGGUGCGGAACACGUACACAACCUUCCUUUAAGUGGGGAAUAGCCCGGGGAAACCCGGAUUAAUACCCCGUAAUAUAAUGAGGUGGCAUCACUUUAUUAUUAUAGCUCCGGCGCUUGAAGAUGGGUGUGCGACUGAUUAGGCAGUUGGCGGGGUAACGGCCCACCAAACCUACGAUCAGUAACUGGUGUGAGAGCACGACCAGUCACACGGGCACUGAGACACGGGCCCGACUCCUACGGGAGGCAGCAGUAAGGAAUAUUGGUCAAUGGACGCAAGUCUGAACCAGCCAUGCCGCGUGGAGGAUGAAGGUCCUCUGGAUUGUAAACUUCUUUUAUCUGGGAAGAAACCCACGAAUUCUUUUGUGGUUGACGGUACCAGAUGAAUAAGCACCGGCUAACUCCGUGCCAGCAGCCGCGGUAAUACGGAGGGUGCAAGCGUUAUCCGGAUUCACUGGGUUUAAAGGGUGCGUAGGUGGGCAGGUAAGUCAGUGGUGAAAUCUCUGGGCUUAACUCAGAAACUGCCAUUGAUACUAUCUUUCUUGAAUACCGUGGAGGUCAGCGGAAUAUGUCAUGUAGCGGUGAAAUGCUUAGAUAUGACAUAGAACACCAAUUGCGAAGGCAGCUGGCUACACGAAUAUUGACACUGAUGCACGAAAGCGUGGGGAUCAAACAGGAUUAGAUACCCUGGUAGUCCACGCCCUAAACGAUGGAUACUCGACAUACGCGAUAUACUGUGUGUGUCUGAGCGAAAGCAUUAAGUAUCCCACCUGGGAAGUACGAUCGCAAGAUUGAAACUC